CAAUUACUUCCUCUGUUCCAAAUUACUUGUCGUAUGUAUGGAUGUAUCUAGAUGUAUUUUAGUUCUAGAUACAUUCAUUUCUGCGACGAGUAAUUUAAAAAGGAGGAAGUACAUU
rnacentral:pre_miRNA from 1 species